GAUCGAUACUCUCAUCGAGUUUGGACCAAACAAAGAUUACGCCACUGAUCACACCUAAUUCCCAUCAUAAUUUUAGGAUGAGUACUGUUACAACUUAAAUGGAAAAUUAGAGAAGAUUUAGCUAAGAUUUUAUAUAGUUACCAUCCCAAUCACUACAUGAAUAAGGUCAAGCUUCAAAAACAGCUAUGCAAACGAAAAGCACUCACUUCGAUUACAUUGAAUAUUCAGUUCAUAAUUUGAUUACUGACUUGAGCGUCAGAGUGGUUGUUAACCACCACUGUCCCUCACUUAUUCUUUGAUUUUCAGGUGACCCUUGAUUCAGUCAGAUCCAACAUCUAGGAAAUCUACGGCAACAUCAUUAUUUUUAAUAAGAAAAUAAAAUAAUUAAUAAAUAAUCAUCCCGAAUUUGUUAACGUGGUGUAAUAUUUUUAGUGUAAUUAAUAAUUCUUUUUAUUUGAAAAUUGGUUUCUAGUGAGCUUAAAUUUUAAUUUGAAAGACUGUUGAAUUAAUUGUUGAUGCAAAACUUGAGAAAAUCUCUUAGCAGCGUUGGUGUAGCUUUUGCAGGACUUGCCAAAGAAAUGAAUUUUCUUAAAGAAUAGCAACUUAGGACCCUAAAUGUCUCUCUUCUCCUGUCUCCUCUCUAGUCUUGAAUCUCAAUCCUUUGUUCAGUGGCCAUCCCCUACCCUUUGGGUAAAAAGGAUAGAUAGUUUAGUUUCCUUUGAGUGAGAGAGUCUAUCUUCUUCUCGCUUUUACCGUUUUCGGUCUCCAGUCUUUUAUUUAGUGAACAUCCCCUGCCCUUUAGGCUGGGGAAGACUCCUUCUCCAUCCGAAGGGUGGCUUAUCCCUCUCCCUUUUCUGUUGAGUUAUGUAUAGCUUUGUUGGAUUUUGUUUAGUUGAGCUGUAGUUUUUGUGUUUCAUGGUGAGGGAUUCGAAGCAAAUAUGUGCUUAGAUGGUUCAUCUUCUGACUCAUGGGGUCUCCCCGUUGCUAGCAUAUUCAGAGGUGUUAGUACCAUUUGGUCACCAUUUCCAUCAAAGCUACACGAGAAUGAGAGGUUUGUAGUUUAUCGAGCCUCUUCCCAAUUCGUUCGGCAUUGGUCUUAGCCCUAAUUCGAAGGAUUUGUGUAGCAACCUUUGCAUCUGGAUAGUGGCAGUAUAAAGGAUCAAGUGAUGGCUCUGCAGAAGUUGGAACCGGUCAAACCCGUAUAAUUUUAGGGGUCCAUGUUAAUAGGUUGUUAUAUUACUGGGCUUGGAUUUUAAGUUGUUGUAGCUUUUUUCUUUGAGUAAGCUUUUGGCCUUGUAAUCAUUUUUAUCUAGUAAAAUAUCAUAUUUUGAUUCAGAAAAAAAAAAA